rnacentral:rRNA from 1 species
GAUGAACGCUAGCUACAGGCUUAACACAUGCAAGUCGAGGGACCGGCGCACGGGUGAGUAACGCGCAUCCAACCUGCCCAUAAGUAGGGUAUAACCCGCAGAAAUGCGGACUAAUCACCUAUGCUUAUGGAUGGGGAUGCGUCCGAUUAGGUUGUUGGUGAGGUAACGGCUCACCCAGGCUGCGAUCGGUAGGGGUUCUGAGAGGAAGGCCCCCCACAUAGGAAAGGAGACACGGUCCUAACUCGUACGGGGGGGAGCGGUGAGGAAGGUUGGGCAAUAGGCGAGGGCCUGGACCAGCCAAGUAGCGUGCAAGUUGACGGCCUAUGGGUUGUAAGCUGCUUUUAUGCGGGGAUAGGUACCGCAUGAAUAAGGAACGGCUAAUUCCGUGCCAGCAGCCGCGGUAAUUC